GACGAAGGGGGCUAGCGUUGUUCGGAAUUACUGGGCGUAAAGCGCGUGUAGGCGGUUGUUCAAGUCGGGUGUGAAAGCCUUGAGCUCAACUCAAGAAAUGCACUCGAUACUGGAUGACUGGAGGACCGGAGAGGAUAGUGGAAUUCCCAGUGUAGUGGUGAAAUACGUAGAGAUUGGGAAGAACACCAGUGGCGAAGGCGGCUAUCUGGACGGUUUCUGACGCUAAGACGCGAAAGCGUGGGGAGCAAACAGG
rnacentral:rRNA from 1 species